UACAGAGGGCCCAAGCGUUGUUCGGAUUCAUUGGGCGUAAAGGGUGCGUAGGCGGCGCGGUAAGUCGGGUGUGAAAUCUCGGGGCUUAACUCCGAAACUGCAUUCGAUACUGCCGUGCUUGAGGACUGGAGAGGAGACUGGAAUUUACGGUGUAGCGGUGAAAUGCGUAGAUAUCGUAAGGAAGACCAGUGGCGAAGGCGGGUCUCUGGACAGUUACUGACGCUGAGGCACGAAGGUCAGGGGAGCAAACGGG
rnacentral:rRNA from 1 species